rnacentral:rRNA from 1 species
UGGGGAAUUUUGGACAAUGGGCGAAAGCCUGAUCCAGCAAUGCCGCGUGUGUGAAGAAGGCCUUCGGGUUGUAAAGCACUUUUGUCCGGAAAGAAAUCCUUGGCUCUAAUACAGUCGGGGGAUGACGGUACCGGAAGAAUAAGCACCGGCUAACUACGUGCCAGCAGCCGCGGUAAUACGUAGGAUGCAAGCGUUAAUCGGAAUUACUGGGCGUAAAGCGUGCGCAGGCGGUUUGCUAAGACCGAUGUGAAAUCCCCGGGCUCAACCCUGGGGCAACUGCAUUGGUGACUGGCAGGCUAGAGUAUGGCAGAGGGGGGUAGAAUUCCACGUGUAGCAGUGAAAUGCGUAGAGAUGUGGAGGAAUACCGAUGGCGAAGGCAGCCCCCUGGGCCAAUACUGACGCUCAUGCACGAAAAGCGUGGGGGAGCAAAACAGGAUUAGAUACCCUGGUAGUCCACGCCCUAAAANGAUGUCAACUAGUUGUUGGGGAUUCAUUUCCUUAGUAACGUAGCUAACGCGUGAAGUUGACCGCCUGGGGAGUACGGUCGCAAGAUUAAAACUCAAAU